UUUUGCAGUUUCAAGGUUGUUCCUGUUUUUCCUGUCUGCGAUCGGAUUGUUACUAAGCCAUGCGAGUCAUUGUAGUAAUACAAGGCAGACGGCUCAUUAACGCGUAGUCAACCUACCCUGUGGACGGGGAUAACCUCGGGAAACUGAGAAUAAUACCCGAUAGAACAUUAUGCCUGGAAUGGUUUAUGUUUCAAAUAAUUUAUUGCCGUAGGAUGGGACUGCGUCCUAUCAGUUUGUUGGUGAGGUAAUGGCCCACCAAGACUAUUACAGGUACGGGCUCUGAGAGGAGUAGCCCGGAGAUGGGUACUGAGACACGGACCCAGGCCCUAUGGGGCGCAGCAGGCGAGAAAACUUUGCAAUGUGCGAAAGCACGACAAGGUUAAUCCGAGUGGUUUCUGCUAAAGGAACCUUUUGUCAGUCCUAGAAACACUGAUGAAUAAGGGGUGGGCAAGUUCUGGUGUCAGCCGCCGCGGUAAAACCAGCACCUCAAGUGGUCAGGAUGAUUAUUGGGCCUAAAGCAUCCGUAGCCUGCUUUGUAAGUUUUCGGUUAAAUCCAUACGCUCAACGUAUGGGCUGCCGGGAAUACUGCAAAGCUAGGGAGUGGGAGAGGUAGACGGUACUCGGUAGGAAGGGGUAAAAUCCUUUGAUCUAUUGAUGACCACCUGUGGCGAAGGCGGUCUACCAGAACACGUCCGACGGUGAGGGAUGAAAGCUGGGGGAGCAAACCGGGUUAGAUACCCGGGUAGUCCCAGCUGUAAACUAUGCAAACUCAGUGAUGCAUUGGCUUGAUGCCAAUGCAGUGCUGCAGGGAAGCCGUUAAGUUUGCCGCCUGGGAAGUACGUACGCAAGUAUGAAACUUAAAGGAUUGGCGGGGGAGCACCACAAGGGGUGUAUCCUG
rnacentral:rRNA from 1 species